GGCGAUAUGGCCGAGUUGGUAUAAGGCGUGAGAGUAAGGAUCUCACAUCUUUGGGGGCGUGGGUUCAAAUAUCACUGUUAUCA
rfam:Sphaerobolus stellatus SS14 unplaced genomic scaffold SPHSTscaffold_101, whole genome shotgun sequence.